UCGGUUGCCUAUUUGUUCAUAUUAUGUUAUUUACUAUGAUUCGUUUUUGUCUUUAUACUAGAACUGUUUGAAUUUAAAGCACAAACAGUAAAACAUUAAGGUUAUACGUGGUACACAGCGGUAAACAUGAGGUUAAAAAUAUGCGAAGUAACAUUCAAACCGGGCUGUUAAAAGAAUCAAUUCGAUGUUUAAAUUUUUAAAAACAAAACUUUAAAGAAGCCAAGAUGAGACGUUAUUUGCUUAAAACAAACAAAACAACAGUAACUCGUGUGUUUGAAAUGUUAGCAGCUAGCAAGUGUCUCUCUGCUAUUUUAAAUGAUACAGACGAUCUUUUGUUGUUUUAAAAGCUCAUUCAGUUCUGGUAGAUGCUGCUUAUUUUUCAAGACUGUUUUAAUAGCUUUAUAUUGAUUUGUAACAAAGCCAGCUUCACUUUAAGAGAACCUAGAUGCUAAUUGUAAAGAAGCUUGGAGUCAUAAUAUAUUUAAACGUUAUAUGUUUGCUGUUCUUCAUCUUUUUAAAUAUGAAGUCUAUACAUGUUUGUGUUUACAGAGGUCAUGUACACUGUGGUCAACUUUGUGGACGAUGAAGAGGUUUCUGGGUAAAGCUGAUAGAAAUAUAAUGAAGUAACAGUGAAAGCUAAAACAUCAGACUGAUCCAGACACUGAAGAAAUUGAUGUCACUGCAAUCUGGCCAAAAUGAUACAACUAUAUUGAAGUAACCUACUGUAAUGAAGCUGCAGAACAACACAGAGACUCUGAGGACAUCAACACAGAAAAUUAAGGCUCCAAAGAGAUGUCUGUCCAGAUGAGGGUGCAUCAACGUUACCUUUGCUGACAAGUAUAUGCUUUACAAUGUAAAACCUAACAGUUAACUUAACUCAUACCAUUUAAGGAAAUCGGUUGCCUUAACCCAUUAAGUUUAAAAAAAACAUACAUUUGAGUACUGUGAACUUAAGUCUUGUGCAAUAAUGCACUUAUAUUUAGUUAGUGUGAACUUAAAUAUAAGUGCAUAACUGCAUGUGACUCAAUUUGUUUAAGUUCACAGUACUCAAAUCUAUGUGUUUUAAAACUUAAAUGGUUUAAUGCAACCGGUUUUCUUAAAUGGUUUGAGUUUAGUUAACUUUUAGGUUUUACAGUGAGAAAUUCUUGAAUAAUUCCAAGACAGAGCUCUGCAAUUGUAUCUACACUGCAAAAAAUCAGUUUCUAACUUAGGAUUUUUAUCUUGUUUUUAGUAGAAAAACGAAAAAUUCUUAAAUCAAGAUGUAUUUUCUUGAUGAGCAAAAUUACCUAAGAAAAUGUCUAGUUUUUAGACAAAAAUAUACAAUUUAAGUAAAUUUGUGCC